rnacentral:rRNA from 1 species
CGACCAGACUCCUACGGGAGGCAGCAGUGGGGGAUAUUGCACAAUGGGGGGAACCCUGAUGCAGCGACGCCGCGUGGGUGAAGGAGCGUUUCGGCGCGUAAAGCCCUAUCGGCAGGGAAGAAGCAAGACGGUACCUGACUAAGAAGCCCCGGCUAACUACGUGCCAGCAGCCGCGGUAAUACGUAGGGGGCGAGCGUUAUCCGGAUUCACUGGGUGUAAAGGGAGCGUAGACGGCCAAGCAAGCCAGGGGUGAAAGCCCGGGGCCCAACCCCGGGACUGCCCUUGGAACUGCUUGGCUGGAGUGCGGGAGGGGCAGGCGGAAUUCCUGGUGUAGCGGUGAAAUGCGUAGAUAUCAGGAGGAACACCGGCGGCGAAGGCGGCCUGCUGGACCGCGACUGACGUUGAGGCUCGAAAGCGUGGUGAGCGAACAGGAUUAGAUACCCCAGUAU